UAGAGAGCAAUAUUCCUGUUACAGUACACUUUCCCUGCUCAUACAAAAAGGUGGUGAUAUAUGGUAUAAUUUCUAGAUGAAUGAGACACAAAACACUGUGCUUGAACGUCGCGUUUAGCUUUUAUAUUUAAUUUCUUGGUACUUUUUCGAAUUGCAUUCUCUUAAUCGUGUUUCCGGGUAGGAAUAUAAUAGGUAUGUCCAUUGAAGCAAUAUGUAUCAGUGCCUUUAAUGUAUAACAAAGGUAGACAACUCGGGGGCUUUAAAAAUUAACCAGUAGGAUAACAAUAUCGUUUGUGAUACAGGGGGCAAAUAUUUUGCGGUUUACAAUAAAGUGAUUUCGUGGGUUUAUUGUUUACAUUCAACAUUUCGUUUUGAAGUACCCGCGUUAUAUUAUUAGUAAAGUUGAACUCCAUUAUCAACACUUGUUUAUAUACUCAAAACACGUUGUUGAUGGUUUUUUAUCAUAAAAUUGGUUUGAAAUAACUCUUUUACAGGACAUAAACAACCGAAAACCGGCGUUUGAUCAUCCUGUUUACAAUAUUACUGUAAGUGAAUGCGAAAAGGAUGGAUUAAACUUAUUAAGAGUACACGCAACAGAUGCCGAUGAAUCGCCAGCAUUCAACACGGUUCACUAUUCAAUUGUUCCCAGCAAUGUAUCAGGACAUUUUUUAAUUGACUCCUCGAGCGGAGACAUUGUCCUCGUUAAACCUGUAGAUGUUGAUACCUCGCCAUCGAAUAAUAAUCCGCUUGUAUUCGAGGUGCACGCUGGUGAUGGGGCGGCAAACCAUUCGGAUACAGCUACCGUUCGUGUCACCGUACUUGGCUGUAAUGACAACAGACCUUCUUUCACAAAAGGUCCUUUGCAAUCCGUUACAACGGUCCUGAUGUUACCAA